rnacentral:rRNA from 1 species
UGGGGAAUAUUGCACAAUGGGCGCAAGCCUGAUGCAGCCAUGCCGCGUGUGUGAAGAAGGCCUUCGGGUUGUAAAGCACUUUCAGUAAGGAGGAAAGGUUAAGUGUUAAUAGCACUUAGCUGUGACGUUACUUACAGAAGAAGCACCGGCUAACUCCGUG